CAGGAAGAUGCCAGCCACGUCUCCGGGCUGUGUCCACAACCAAGCCAACAGCAUCGGCGUCACAGAGACUGUCCCCCAACACCGUGAGAGCGAUCCGACCCUUCUCCCAGGCAGCACCGCCGCCCUCACCUCCCUCCUCACCAUCGCUGUGGCACCCAGUUGUCUUCUCAGCUACCAGCCCCUCCUUCACGCUCCACGAACCCAAAGCUACGCAGGUAUCAGAUGCCCCAGAGCUGCAGCUACAGAAUCACAGAUGGUGCCCCUCACAGCCCAGAACCACGACCGGGACACUGCUAAGGGCUCAGCACUGCACUAG
rnacentral:lncRNA from 1 species